rnacentral:tRNA from 1 species
GACACAAGGGAUUUAAAAUCCCUCGACUUUCGAGUCGUGCCGGUUCAAGUCCGGCCCGGGGCACCA